UGGGAGGUUCCCUAUGGGGUUUCUGGAAAAUUCACAUAAGCACCAAUGAGGAAGCGAGUAUUUGGAUGUCUGCCACAGAGAAGGCACCAACGGCCAACCAGCACUGGCCAGAGAGACCUCAAACCAGGGACAGGUAAGAAACAAUUGUCUUUCUCCCUGUCCUUCUUCCCAGUCUCCUCACAGAGAGGAGAAAUGCAAGUGACAGAAGAGGAGGCUCCAGGAGGGCAUAUACACCACUGUGCUCUGGGGCCAGGGGAGAGGAAAUGUCAUUGAAUAGGACCAAAAUUAAAGUUUUAAAGUGAACUAAACUGGAUUGUGCUUGUUAUCCCUGGAAGUGACUGGAACCUUAAAGUGGCUGUACCAGAGUUUUUGUUAGGAGACACAAUAGAGAGAUUGUGAGCAUGGCAGAGGCGAAGGCAAGAGGCAGUAGAAAAAGAAAAUCUUAUGAGCUAGGAUUGUUCAAUAAACCAGAUGUGGUAGCCACUAUUUUCAUUAGCAACAAAGUGGCAACAGGCGGGUCUGAAUGAUACCUCUUUGGGGAAAUGCACUGGUGAUGAAUCACUGUGUGAUUAUGCGGGUGGGGUUUCCCCUGAAGGGACUGAACUGCUCCCUGCCAGCUGUCCUCAGGAGAGGUCAUUUGUGGGACAGGAAAUCAGAACUCUGGGACCCAGAGGUAGUCUGCCUAGCUCUCCCAGGAAGAGAAGAAACUCUGGGGCCCUGGAGUGCUUACUCCUGGUGGGGGCAGGGCCUAGCAUCAGCACUGACUGAUUUUGUGUUCUGUUUUCAGGUCAUUGUCCCUGACUUUUAUUGUGAUUUGAUCAAUGUCUCAAAUACAUUGGCUUCUGAUGUCCUGGAGGAAAUUAAGAGAAAAGGUCCACAACCACUCUGAGAGCAAAGUAACGCAGCAGAGGGCGGCAGCUGAGGACAGCAACGGGGGAACAGCCUGGCCAGGUGUGACAUCUCACAACAGCUGAUUAUAGAAGUAUGCGUACGUGAGGGACAGGUUCUUGAAUGCACGUGACAGGGUUCCCUGGGAGAGUUCAAGAUUCCUACGCAUAGCAGAAGGCGCUGAGAGUGGGGGAUUGAGGGCUGCCAAAUUAUGUCAAUAAAACUAGUGUGAGUCAAGCCAUUAUCAUUUUAGUGACACUAUAAUUAGUUAUUCAACAAUGGAACAAGCUCUUUGUCACUACAAGCGUUUAAAGUAUAAAUGUUUUCUUUUUAUUUAACAUGUAUUUAUUUUGUACUUAUUGUAUGUCAAGCAUUCUGCUAAUAAGUGCUCAGACAAACCCUAUUAAAAAUCUGGUGUUAUAGAUGAAGGAUUUGAGGCUUGCCAACUGAAGUAAGUUGCCUAGGAAUUUAUCACUAACACAUAGUAGGGACUCCAAAGGUGAGUGCAGACCUCCCUGGCUUAUAAAUGUUGGCCUUCUGAGUUUUUCCACCUUCACGAUGAUGUUUAAUGAUGUAUUUGUUAAUGUGAGUAAACAUACCCCAAUCUGGUUUUCAUUUUCACUACAGUAUUCGGUAAAUUACAUGAGACAUUCAACACCAGUAUAAAAGUGGCUUUGUUAGUUGAUUUUGCCCAAUUGUAGACUAAUGUUCACUGUUCUGAGCAUGUUUAAGGUAGGCUAGGCUAAGCUAUGAUGUUCAGUAGGUUAGGUGUUCUAAAUGUAUUUUUGACUUAGAAUAUUUUCAAUUUAUUAUAACUAUACUGGGAAAACCACAUUGUAAGUUAAAGUGCAUUUGUGCCCUAGAGCAUGCUAGUCUAGCAGGGCAGCAAUGACACAAUUACAGAUGAUGACUCAUCGAUGCAGGUGUGCAUGAACUGUUGCAGAGGCACGUGAAUUAGUGUCAUGGGAGGGGAAGAAUGGAAUGGAGGGAGUGGUCCGGGAAGGCGCUAUAGGGUGUGCCUCUAAGGCUGAGUUAUAGAUGAUGGAAAGGAGUUAAAGAAGGAGGGAGUGCUCUGGGGGUGAGUGACCAGCGCUGACAUUGCAGACAAGAGGGCCAGCGGUGAUACUUAUGGAGAUAGCUCAGUAAACAUUCACUGAGUAGUUGAAUGCCAGCAUGGGCCAAGUCCCCCAGUCAGGAUACCACAUAGCUUUGGAGACAACAGGAGGUUAGGGAGACCCUGAACCUGUUGGCAUGGAGGACCAGGGGCAAGAUGGGCAAUGCUAGUGACUGCAGACAUCAAAAGGCCAAGAGCCAGGUGGUAAAAAAGCAGCUGUGGGUGUGGCAGAAAUGUUUGGAGAUUGUUUUCUGAGAGCAUAGCUUGUAUUCUAAGGUUUCUGAAGUGGAGCACUUCCAGAUGAUAAAAUUCACGCCUGGGUGGGAGUCUUGACCGAAAGAAACAGGGCUGAGGGUCAUCGGCAUUAGAAGAACGCUCCAACAUUUUGAGGCUAAGUAGACUUUUUAUAACUCUGAGAAUCUACAGUUCUAUUAAUUACUUGACUUUUCCCGAAAUGAAUGGGUUGGUUAAGUGCUGUAGCACACAGAAGUUGGCUGUCUCAUUAAAAGUUGCUGUUUUACUCAGCUUUUUGCAAAUGCACUGC
rnacentral:lncRNA from 1 species